GGAAUUUUCGUCAAUGGGCGCAAGCCUGAACGAGCGAUGCCGCGUGAGUGAAGAAGGCCUUCGGGUCGUAAAGCUCUGUUGCGGGGGAAAAAAGGCAGCAUCAGGAAAUGGGUGCUGACUGAUGGUGCCCCGCCAGAAAGUCACGGCUAACUACGUGCCAGCAGCCGCGGUAAUACGUAGGUGGCGAGCGUUAUCCGGAAUGAUUGGGCGUAAAGGGUGCGCAGGCGGUCCUGCAAGUCUGGAGUGAAACGCAUGAGCUCAACUCAUGCAUGGCUUUGGAAACUGGAGGACUGGAGAGCAGGAGAGGGCGGUGGAACUCCAUGUGUAGCGGUAAAAUGCGUAGAUAUAUGGAAGAACACCAGUGGCGAAGGCGGCCGCCUGGCCUGUUGCUGACGCUGAGGCACGAAAGCGUGGGGAGCAAA
rnacentral:rRNA from 1 species